GCACUGGUCGUUCAGUGAGUAGGACGCUGCCUUGCCAAGGCAGAGACGGAGGUGCAAGUCCUCCCCGGUGCG
rnacentral:tRNA from 1 species